AAGCGCUCCGUAGUUUCUGCGCUUCAGUUAUGGCUGUCCAAGUUCUCCACUCGGUGAAACUUGACCUCCAGGACAAGGGCUCCGUGAUUCCUGCGCUUCAGGUAAGCUACCUGGUGAAACUCGACCUCCAGGAUAAACGCACUGGGGUUCCUGCGCCCCAGGUGAUUUACCUGACGAAUUACGACUUCCAAGUCCUCGACCUGAUGAAUUCCGACCUCCAGGACCAGUGCUCCACAGUUUCUACAUUUCAGGUCCUUUACAUGGUGAAUUUCGACCUCCAGGACGAGUGCUCCGUAGUUUCUGCUCAGUGCAGUGAGCAGUGAGGGCAUGAGGUAUUUCAUUAAUUGAGAUUCAGUCUGUUUCGCGCUCGGCCGACUAUGGCGUUGUAUUGGAAAAAUUACGUGUGUCACACGUGUGGAUGGGAGAAACAGGACUCGUGGAGAUUGCGCAUGCUACUUUAUUGCAAAAAUGUUCGACUAUAACGAGAACGAUCAUCUGUCAUCGGCUCGCGAGUUUAUACUCUAAAAAAUAAAACACGAUACUUCCGCCAUUCUCCGUUGGCGCAUAUACUUGAAAUCUGAAGGUGAUCUGCUACACGCGGCGUAUAAGAAAAACACUGAAGAACCCAAUCGAAGGAUAACCACGGUGAACUGUGGAUAUACGUUAUACUAAACGCUACGCAUUUGCGUAAAACGGUCAAAGAAUUGCGUGCGUACUGCGGCUGCCGGUCAAUAAAUGUAACCAUGAGAAUUACGCUGUUUAAAUGCUCGAGAGGCUCAGAGUACGUGCGCUUUUCAGCUAUUCCUUUACUUCGUAGGAUUACCCUGCUUAAACUAUUACGACUUGCACCUAUUAUGUACUUACACAUCAUAUGCACCAUGCGCAUUAACAGGGGAAUGCAUACACAUGUGCAGAAUGUUGCCCAACGCUGAUUGAUAUGUAAAACGUCGAACAUAGUCAUCAGCCUUGACAGUCCUUUGAAAUUGAAAUUCUGUCACUAUACUUCUGCAUAUCCCAUAUACCUACAUGUGUGCGUACCGACCCAUACGUGUGAUAACUGACACUGACCCACUUUACUAAGGUAUACCAAUUUGUUCUUGCCUCACAGACUUGUCUUAAAUCAUCGCUAUAGGUAUAUCACAGAGUAGUCAGUAUUAGAAAAUUAAUAACAGUAUAUUAAAAAAGUUUUUUAUUUUUCGCAAACCAACUUUCGUCUCAUAAAACUACAUUUUUUACGUCUCGGUUCCAUCACAUGAUAUAUACGCCUUGGUCUGAGCGUAUUGCAUUAUCGCACAGAUGCUUAAUUACUUGUGUAAUUUUUUAAAGAGUGUAUUUCAACGACCUCGAAUUUCCCAAUUUUCUCUUCUGGCCGAUACGCCAUCAAUUACGUCUGAUAUCCAAUGACAGCGGCCUCGUGCUCCUAGCAGACUUUUAAUCCCACUCGGGUACGUAGAUUAGGCUACGUAUCCUCAGGCGUAUCUCAACUCUAUUCGAGCAUUUUCCCUGUACAUCUAUCCUACAUAAGUACCUGUAUUGUACUAUAAUAAUCACAUUUUUAUCUUAUUCCAAUAAUAAGCUGUGUGGGGAAAAAUUCUAAUCAAGUGAUUUUUAUUCUCGCUUUCGUGAAGGUACUUGUAAUUUCGGAAUAAAUUAUUGGUUUCUUUUUACUUUUCAUCAUUCGUAGUAAUAUAGGAACAGUAUUAGUCUCGGUGGAAAAGGACUUUAUCUAAUGCCAAUGAAUGUUGACGUUUUCGUACUUCUAUGAGUAUCCAAAAAACAGAUUUUUAGAAAAACGUCGGUCUGUCUGUAUGGCCGGACAAAUUCUCGCGAUGAUUUCGGAAAGUGCUGGAUAAAAAAAUCAGAAAUUCGGACGCCUCUACACAUUCAAAUGAGUGGUUAAAAAAUUGACAUGUCUUAUUUUUUGUCCUUAUUUUUCAAUCGAAAUAAAAUCAAAAAGCGAAAAAUUCGAAGCACUCCGACACAGUUUACGAGACGUUGAUAAAAAGUAUUAUACAAUUUAUUUCAAAACGUAUUAACUAGUGUAUUAGUAGGUAAACAAUUUUAUGAAAAAUAGAGAAACUAUUUUAUGAAAAAUAAGAGUGUUAGCGUCAAAAUAUUUUGGUCAUGCAUGAUGGUACUUCCAGUAAAUGGAUUGGUUUGCAAAGUGACGAAAGGUACCGCUAAGAAUAUGAUUUUUACGGCUUACAUUCUCGUUAUUUCAGCGGUAUGAGCAAAGAUCAUUUCUUUUUGAAAGAAUAUUUUUUAUGCAGUAGAUAAACAAUAUUAUUUUUAUGAAGGGUUCAUCCGAACUUUAAGUAUUCUUACAUAGAGUUCAAACUUCUAAACAAUAAGAGAAGUGAAUCAAGUUCAUAAUAAUAACAAUGUAAAAGUAGAUCGAUUGAAAAAUACAGUGUAGGAUAAUGAAAAAUACUGUGAUACAAGAAAAAAUGGGAAGGGAUGAACGAAAAAAAAAAUGAGAAGAGUAGAAAAGUACGAGAUAAGAGAUAUUAAAUCGAUUCAUUAUCGUAUCUUUUCAGUCAACAAGCAACACGUCACUGAUUGGCAGAUAGCAGCGUUGGGCUUAGAGCAUCCUUCAUAAGAUAUUGUUCGACAGUUUUGACGCUAAUAUACCUAAAGUGAUAGAGGCGUAGCUUAAAAGAUAUGUUUCGACGUAGCCUGCCAUAUCGUAACCAUAUACUUUGAUACUCAUUGUAGAAAAAGGCAAAAAUAAUUAAUAUUGUGCGAUUGAUUGAGGCGGCCGUUGUAAUUCUAAAUAAAAAUUAACGUAACAGUAUCAAUCAGGAAACAUCUUGACAUAAGUAAAAUGAGUUAAACUUACAUUUUCUGCAACAAGAGCACUGGUUCUAUAUGUGUGAUUGCUAAUUUGUAUUACACCGUUUUCUCCGUGAAGGAAAAGUCUAAUCGACAUAAAAAAUAUACACAAGCCAACUAGCUUCGGCGCUAUAUACACUCACACCUUCUGAGCUUUCUAGACGAAAUAAGCGGAAAAAUAUUCAUGUAAAAUGGUUCUGAGAAGAAAAGUUUUUGAGCUCCAAAAAUCAAAGUAAACGAAUACUAACCCCUUUGGAUUUUUUGGGCAUCCACAGGGAACAUUUACUUUUAAUGAACGUACCAUGGAAAUCCAUAAUGGACAUGUUAGACAGAGAUUUAAAUGUCCGCUCGUUAUACAUCUAGUAGAACCAUACUGGAUAUCCACACAGAUCUCGAUUAUAGAUCUUAUGGAUUUUGUGGAGAAGUAAUUUGAAUCUUCAAUUGAUGUCCUUUCUAUCCAAUAUCCAUUAUUCAUAUGCACGCGAUCUUAUACAGUCUUAUAGAUCCAUUGUAUGUAGCGUUCUAGUAGAUUUCCAUACAGGAUUUCGUUGAAUAUAUCAUGAAUUUUGUGGCUAAGUACAAUACAGACUAGGCACUUGAGGACAGCCAAGUGCGUAAAUACCAGACGUUGACAAUUAAGGUAUACAUUGUCACAUGCCGAUCUAUCUAUCGGUCAUUUAUCGAAUUAUUAAUUCGGCAAAUCACGAGACGUUUGAAGACAUAGAUGAUCUUCAACAUACAUCACGCAUUAACUAAUAUACCACUCUAGGUGUAUAUGAAAUUAUAACAUAAAUGAUAAUUGUAUUACUUGUAUACUUAAACUCACGUUAUCAGACUAUUGGGUGCCAUAAGCCUGGCAAUAACGUAGGUUACACCUAUGUAUAAUUACACGAUAUUAAUCCAUAUUUGUGAAACCUGAUAAUGUUACAAAUUUCAAACAGUAAAGAAUAUGUAUCCAAAGUUUUGUUAGAUGCGACAUAGGUAUACCUGUAUCUCUUUAUAUUAUAAAGAUAUCUCACGACCGCCGUCGCCGUCUCAGGAAUCCAGCCCUUCCUUCCACCACCCGACCUUCCCUUUACUAUCACCGCCUUCAUACCUAUACGGAUUCAACCCUUUAUCUAACCUUUAUGCCCUUAUAGCUAUGAAGAUGUAACUCUUUACCAUACGUAUACUGAUUUAACCCUUUAUUUGACAUAGGUAUAUACCGUAACACCUAUGAAGACUUGACCCUUCACCUUCUGUAUACACAUCCAUCUAGGAAUCAGGGAUUCAACACUCAACCCUUUACACAUGUACAUCCUCAUACAUACAAAAAUCUGAUCCCUUACCGCCUUCCCUCCCCUUUCCUUGAAAACAUGAAAAUGGUGGUUGGUGCGCGAAGCGUAUACAUCAUAAAUAUACAUAUAUACAUACUAGAUAUAGAUGAGUUUAAUGUUCGUGACCGUGUUGAUAAUAUACAGAUUCCAUUUAGUUGGGUGACGGUCAGGGAUAAAAUGAUGCACUAUUCGCAAUCGAUUAUGUUUUUACACGAGGUUUCGGCAUGCCGCGCGUAUCAUCAUCAGGUUUCUUUAAUGUAAAAUGAAUAACAGAUUUUACAUGAGAACUAUAUGGUGUUUACAAUUUUACUUAGGUACAAAAAUGCCACUGUUUAAUCUUAUUAUUGAACUACUGUGAAAAAUUAAAUUAUUCAAAACUUACGUAUAUCAACAUUCCUUAGCACUUAUGAUGUUUGUUACAUGGUGUUCAAAAAUGAAGUGACUACCCACAUGCCUAUACUGACAAGCCUAAUUAUCUUAAUGUUAAUUAAAACAACUAUAUUUGAAAGUCAUACAUCUAUUAACAUAUUUCUUGGUAUGUUGGCAAAUUGUUUACAUAACAUUUUGUCAAUAUGCCUUUUUCUCUUUGACAAUUUAUAUGAUGACAGAAUAGAGGUUACUUAAAUUUUGUAUGUCAGUUCUCUUGUUGGCUGUGUUGUUUUUAGAAAUAUGCAUCAUUUACUUUAUGAUCCUCUUAUGCCGGUUAGUUUCUUUUUCUAUAAUCUUUACAUUUUCAAAAGCAAACCUGUGCCCUUCAACCAAUGAGUGUCGGACCAACCCCGAUCUAUCAGGAUCCCGCGUUUUAACAUCAUACUUAUUAUUAGCCAUCCGUUUUUUUAGAUGCUGCGAUGAUUGGCCAAUAUAACAUUUAUCACAAUAUUUACAAUCGAUUUUAUAAACAAUAUUGGUUUCUUCCAGUGUGGCUGUUGUUAAUUUUAACGACGUAAAUACAUUAUUCAACAUAUUAGUAAUUUUGUACGAGACAUUGAUGUUUUCUUUAAAUAGUGUCUUUUUGAUGUUUUGUGAGGGCCAUCAAUAAAAGGGAUUGACUCGUUGAUUUAACGUGGAAUUUGAGGUACAUAUAAUAACGAAUCGUAUGCGUACAUGGUUCAUCUUCGUCUGUUUCUUUUUCUAUUUUCUUUCAAUAUAGACACGUUCUUAUUGGCGUGCUUCCACGUAAAACGCGCGCCUAGGUGUGCAGAGAUUAUUAUCUGCAGAAAGUUGUUUUAUUUUUUAUAUUUUCCUCUUCUCUCUACAACUCGACACGCUCUGUAUACCCCGAUGUCCGUGCCUACAUACCUGUUGAAUGCGAUGAAGUGCCUGCAGCGCAUACCUCGGAACCCAUGCUAUUACAAUAUUAAGAUCGGUCGAGAUUUAGGUACAGGUCAUGUUUGAUACUUCGAAUUCAAUGCUAGAAUAAUAAAGGAGAAGAGAAAAGAAUACAAAUGACUAUCAGAAUCUUUGUUAAUAAUUCGUUGAGUCUCGUCGCAUUCCAAGAAAUACUUAUUACCAGUCUUGUUCACAUUUCAUGAGUAUACGUUUGUAAUUGAAGUGCCUAAUUUCUAACCGCAAGUCUUUGCAUCUUUGCAAAGACAGACGCAUCUAGGCAAUUAAUAUCAAUAUUUAAUGAAUAUAGUUCUGUUUUUUUGUAAUUAUAGUGUGAGAAUAAAAACAACGACCAAGGAAAACUGAACAAUUAAAUAAGAGUGAUGAAAAAAACUAGCACUAGAAACUGGCAAGGCUGAUGAAAGAGAAACGAGUAUAUCAACCAAUCAGAGACAACGACGUAUUUGGUGCGAGAGCAUGCAAUAGUAGAUAUAAUGAGUCUGCAGCAGCUCACAAUUAUUUUCCAGUUCGAAUCUCAAGUUCGACUCAGUUCGUACGUUUACGAUUAUGUCACAUUGUCAUACCUAUGUAUCGUGAUGCAAAUAUAUCUGUCAAAUUAUUUGAUAAGUGUUAAGAAAUUAUGAAAUACAGUCUUGUUUUCUGUUUUUCUUAACCAAAACAUUUUUUUAGUACUACAAUUAAAGACAAUCACCGGAAAAUUCAGAAUUAUUAUGAGAAAUUUGUAACAAUAUGGAUACAUUAUUACUUUAGAGUUUUUUUUUCCCAGCUUCAUCACGUUUCACUUUUGGCUAACCAUCCGACAUCCUCUGCACAGCUUUUUCGGAUUAAUUGUAAACAUCGAGGUAAAACCAGUUGCUGCCUCGCAUCGCAGUGUUGGAAAAAAGAAUAAACUAUAAAAAAUAAUUUAUAAAUAAUAGAAUAAAUUGUAGAAUGUCAGUACAUUUUUAAUGAAAUCAAGGAGAAAAUGUUUUAAUUGAAAAAUCUUUAUUUCAGCGGACACAAAUAUUGCGGUUCGAACUUUUUGUUAUUUGCUUAGAAGGAAUUUAGUGUGAAACAUUGUAAAUUCGUAGUACUACAGUCAUAAAACUCGUUUUCAAGACACUAUCUGUUCAAAACAAAUCUUCAAAUGUGAAAAGAAAAAUACCGUAAUUUUUCAAAAUCCUACAAAAUCCAUACGGAAGGUAUUAAUGACAAGUCUUUAAAUGCUAUUUAUUUUAAAAUUUAUCAUUUUGGGCUACAAGAGGUUAAGGAAAGUACUCCGCCUCAAUUGCCAACAAUCUUAAGGUAUGAUGAUAUAACACUCCAACCUCUAUAAAUUGUUCGAAAAGCUUACAAUGAAAAGCUUUACAAAAACAAAACUUGUACCCUGCCCAUAUUCAUACAUUUUUAUAAUUUAAUACUCCGAUCAUUAUCGCUGUAAUCAGAGUGUCAUUGCAUAAACAACUCGCAGCCAUUGUUAUAACGCGAGGUUAUCGCAAGAUAUGUAUAUAAGUACCUAUUCAGAAGUGGACAGAUAUAAUACGUAGGUACGAAUGUUAGAAGGAGACGGAAAGUUGAUAUCGCUGGUCUCUGAUUACGAAUAAUCCUUAUUCCAAGUCACACCUACGCUCGCUUACUCGGCAACUUUAUUUCCUCUUUACGGCAAUUUAAUUGUUGCCCAACGUUUAAUUAGCACUUUAAUCGUAUCGCGGCUUUACGUACAGCUGAUACGGCAACGGCAUACACGUAUUUAUAACUAUAUACGAAACAGCUUCAUAAAUUGCUGUAGUAAUAGUAAAACAAUAAAGUCAGACUGUUCUUGUAUUGCGGGUUAUUUUUAAUCUUACUGAUAAGUCGCACUAUUGUUCUCUCUUCCCCCUUCCAUUCCGUCAAGCUUGUCAGAGUAUCUCGACGGUUGCGUAGAAUAACCGGCUAUCUCGAGUUCGGCGUCAAAAACCGGCUAUUUCGCGUUUGAAAUUUUUUUCCCGUAAAUUAAGUUGAUAACACUGUCGGGCUGAAUACGAAACUCGCCAGCGCCUCACAAAAUUCAUACAAGCUCCGUUUUGUGAAUGUGUUCGACUAGUACGUUGCUCCUUGUGGUUUCAAGCCCUAUCCAACUGUCGCAGAACGACAGCGUUAUUAGCUGACCAGUUUACUGAAGAAUAUAUCCUUAGUCAACGGCUGACCAUCGAAGGGCCUAGCCGCUUGAGUCUGGAAUCGGCAGGAAAGAUGAACUAGCCGAAUUCCUCAAUCUGGAAACAACCGCGCAGUAGAGAGGACGUAUGAGAAUCGCGCUCCGAAAAUUUUGAGUAUCGGGUUCUCUAUCUCCUGGAUCCUACGUUCCACGUCCGCUUCCUGGUGCAACGCGACUUCCAAGACAAGCGCUCCGUGGUUCCUGCGCUCCAGGUCCACUACCCGGCGAAACUCGACGUCAAGGAGAGGACGAGUUGGACGGGGCGGAUUUUUCACGCAAACUCAAAUUCGUAUUCGAGGUGGUUAGCGAUGGUCGUUGGAGGUGGUUUGCGGUGGUCAGAGGUGUAUAGGGGUGGUUGCGGGUGAUCAAGGGGGACGAGGAGGAGGACAAGGGGGAGGAGGACGAGGAAAACGAGGAUUUCUGCAAAGUAUAACCCGAGGUGGUUGUCGGUGGUUCUUGGAGUUGGUCAGAGGUGGACGAGGAGGAGGACGAGGAAAACGAGGAUUUGUGCUCGGUACAACCCGAGGU
rnacentral:lncRNA from 1 species